CCCGAGUUAGCUCUGACAAUUGCUUGCGAUGAAGCGUUGUUCAGAGC
rfam:Izhakiella sp. D4N98 NODE_44_length_6506_cov_107.335_ID_5725, whole genome shotgun sequence.